rnacentral:rRNA from 1 species
GACGAACGCUGGCGGCGUGCCUAAUACAUGCAAGUAGAACGCUGAAGGAGGAGCUUGCUUCUCUGGAUGAGUUGCGAACGGGUGAGUAACGCGUAGGUAACCUGCCUGGUAGCGGGGGAUAACUAUUGGAAACGAUAGCUAAUACCGCAUAAGAGUAGAUGUUGCAUGACAUUUGCUUAAAAGGUGCAAUUGCAUCACUACCAGAUGGCCCUGCGUUGUAUUAGCUAGUUGGUGGGGUAACGGCUUACCAAGGCGACGAUACAUAGCCGACCUGAGAGGGUGAUCGGCCACACUGGGACUGAGACACGGCCCAGACUCCUACGGGAGGCAGCAGUAGGGAAUCUUCGGCAAUGGACGGAAGUCUGACCGAGCAACGCCGCGUGAGUGAAGAAGGUUUUCGGAUCGUAAAGCUCUGUUGUAAGAGAAGAACGAGUGUGAGAGUGGAAAGUUCACACUGUGACGGUAUCUUACCAGAAAGGGACGGCUAACUACGUG